GUGUAGCAGGUGCAUAUGAUAUUCGGUUGAAUAAUCAAAGAACAAUACUCGGAGAUCGGACCAAUGUGGAGGCCUGUGGUAGUUAUGUGCCUAUCGUGAAUAGUGUGAAACAGUGGACCCCUGGAUCAAACCGUCUAACCAAGAAAAACCUUAAAAGACCGAACCGUGCUCUGCCUCUACCCUGCUCGCCGCUAACAGUGGUGCAACAGCAGAUCCCGUAUAAAAAGGGACGCAAGGACACCGCUGAUAGUGUUUUAGCUCCAGAGAAUUAUAACUUGGUUCUCCAGGCAGUUAUAAACCCACAAAUCGCGCAGCCAGGGACCGUAUGGUCUGAGUCCAAACAACAAGUUGUCGGGGCGGUGGAUGUGCAUGUGUCUGCGCCGCCUGCAGAGACCGUUACUGUACAGCCGGAUGGAUGCAUUCAGCAUGUCCUUGGUGACCCUCAGUAUGCACCACUACCAGAACUGACCGAUGAGGAUAUCGAGGCUCUCGCCGACAUUCCGUUGUGGCCCUCAGCGCUGUUGGAACAGCUCGACUUCACUCCAGCUCAGUGGAUAGACCCUCCAGCUACUUCCGUAGGGGGUACCGCCAGGGCAGAACCUGUAAACCAUCAGCCUGCAGCCCCCGCCUCUGGAUCACUACCCAUCAUCCAGGCCUCUAUUCACGAUCCGCCAGGCACUGUGAGUCCCUACGCCUACGGGGCAGUGGCUACGCUCCUACCUGUCGGUGCAGCGGUUGCUGGUGAAUACAUUGCGGGUGGGCCAUGUACCAAAUGUUGUAAGGAUUGUGCUGAUAAAUUAACCGUGGUAACUACAGCGGCUGAUGUAAAUGCCUUAACCAUUGGUCGUCAGUGUAAACUGGGUGCAUUGUCUGUGAAACGUAAUGACAUCAGAUUUCAGGCUAUCGAAGAGCAAACGAAGCAGUCACUCAAGACACUCGGGGCCAUCAAGGCCGAGAUAGCGCGUGAUCGUCGUGCUAUUGCAUCCCAGAAAGCCGCGCUAGUGCGUUAUGGUCUGGCUAUAGAAUCAAUACAGCAGAAGAAUUUGGCAGUCGAGGCAGCAGUGCGUGUUAACACUCUGGCUUUGGAUAGGGGGCCUAAGAUAUCUAAUAUAGCUCGGAAAAUAUGGCUAAUUGAAGAUACGGCGCAGGAUAACAUCAGGGCCUACAAGGCCCUGUCUGCCCGGAUGACUGUUAUGAAUAAUGCACUGGAUAAGCUUACGAUGAAUCGUUAGUAUUUGAUUUGUGGUUUUGGGGUGUUCUUUUUAUUUUUUGUUUGUUUGCUUUUUUCGUUUAUUCUGUGGAGAGGGUAAUUUUUUUUGUUUUAAACUGAACGCAAUAAAACUUUUUUCUUUUAAUAUCUGACUAACUUUUUUUUAUUUUUUUUAUCUAUCGGCAUAAAAACUAUAGCUGAACACAAUGCAUAAAGCUAUUAGCCCCAGAAAAAGGAAAUUCAAAUCUGUAGAUGUAAAUCCCAAGAGACGGCGUAGAUCUGAUAGCGGGGGUAGCAUUAUGGAUGUAGAACUUGAAGAGAUGGC